AACGAACGCUGGCGGCAUGCCUAACACAUGCAAGUCGAACGAGACCUUCGGGUCUAGUGGCGCACGGGUGCGUAACGCGUGGGAACCUGCCCUUAGGUUCGGAAUAACUCCCCGAAAGGGGUGCUAAUACCGGAUAAUGUCUUCGGACCAAAGAUUUAUCGCCUUUGGAUGGGCCCGCGUUGGAUUAGCUAGUUGGUAGGGUAAAAGCCUACCAAGGCGACGAUCCAUAGCUGGUCUGAGAGGAUGAUCAGCCACACUGGGACUGAGACACGGCCCAGACUCCUACGGGAGGCAGCAGUGGGGGAUAUUGGACAAGGGGCGAAAGCCUGAUCCAGCAAUGCCGCGUGAGUGAUGAAGGCCUUAGGGUUGUAAAGCUCUUUUACCCGGGAUGAUAAUGACAGUACCGGGAGAAUAAGCUCCGGCUAACUCCGUG
rnacentral:rRNA from 1 species